AUACGUAGGUGGCAAGCGUUAUCCGGAUUUACUGGGUGUAAAGGGCGCGUAGGCGGGUAUGCAAGUCAGAUGUGAAAUCUAUGGGCUUAACCCAUAAACUGCAUUUGAAACUGUAUGUCUUGAGUGCUGGAGAGGUAGACGGAAUUCCUUGUGUAGCGGUGAAAUGCGUAGAUAUAAGGAAGAACACCAGUGGCGAAGGCGGUCUACUGGACAGUAACUGACGCUGAGGCGCGAAAGCGUGGGGAGCAAACAGGAUUAGAUCCCCUGGUAGUCCACGCUGUAAACGAUGAAUACUAGGUGUGGGGGGACUGACCCUCUCCGUGUCGCAGUUAACACAAUAAGUAUUCCACCUGGGGAGUACGGCCGCAAGGUUGAAACUCAAAUGAAUUGACGGGG
rnacentral:rRNA from 1 species